rnacentral:tRNA from 9 species
UCCUCAGUAGCUCAGCGGUAGAGCGGUCGACUGUUAAUCGAUUGGUCACAAGUUCGAAUCUUGUCUGGGGAG